AUGUAGAUAAUGUCCACGAUUUUUGUGGUUCUUUUCCGUACUGUAGUCAGGAACAUGAUUCCUGAUGUAGUCAGGAAUGGUCAGGAAUGAGAUGGAUUAGAAUGGUUAGAUAGCCAAAAAAUCGAUCUGUCAUCACUCAUCAAUCACUUCAUUCUCCCAACUAUCAACAUGAAUUGUGGAAAUUACAGAACUGAAUUUAUAAACACUGACUGCAUAACUCAAUAUUUGUUCGAGUCUGACAAUAAGAAAAAUGCACUAAAUCAUUCUCUAUCAAAACAAUUUUGUUCCGGUAAGAAUCAAACAAAAAAUGGACAAUAUAAAUAAAUAAAAAUAGAUGAGAAAUAUAAAAUUUCUACAAGAAUCAAAUAAAUUCAAAGGAUCUGAUUAAACCUACCAAAUUUCCAA